rnacentral:lncRNA from 1 species
UAAAACAAGCCACUGUAACUGUUCUUAUACUAAAUUAGCCGUGAGCUCGUGAUCACGUGAGAGAGUCAUGUGGCAGUUUUACUGCUACCACAUCAUGGAACGGGUACGUGUUGCUGUUGUUGCCUAUGGAACCAAUGAAUGAAUACCUGUAACUAUAAUUAUGGAACGAAUACAUGUUCUGUUGCCUAUGGUUUGGGAUCUAUGGAUACCUGGAACUUACUCAUCAUCCGUUAAAUCAGACAUGAAAGCUAAAAAAAAAACGGAACAUGAAUUUUGC